rnacentral:rRNA from 1 species
UACAUAGGUGGCAAGCGUUAUCCGGAAUUAUUGGGCGUAAAGAGCGCGCAGGUGGUUGAUUAAGUCUGAUGUGAAAGCCCACGGCUCAACCGUGGAAGGUCAUUGGAAACUGGGUCACUUGAAUAUAGAAGAGGAAAGUGGAAUUCCAUGUGUAGCGGUGAAAUGCGUAGAUAUAUGGAGGAACACCAGUGGCGAAGGCGACUUUCUGGUCUAUUAUUGACGCUGAGGCUCGAAAGCAUGGGUAGCAAACAGGAUUA